GCCAGGUGCAGUGGCGUAUGCCUAUAAUCCCAGCUACUUGGAGGCUGAGGCAGGAGGAUCACAAAUUUCAGGCCAGCCUCAGCAACUUAGUGAGACCCUAUCUUAA
rnacentral:sRNA from 1 species